rnacentral:lncRNA from 10 species
UGCAUAUUUUCCUCUGUUUUAGCAUUGAGCACUGAAAAUUAUCUACAAACAACCUCCACAAGCUCCAAAUUCUGCCUCCUUACAUCAACCAGAAUGAUGGUCUUUGUUUGGUUAUAUCCAACCACUGCUACAGCUUGAAACCAACUUUAUCGAGAAAACCAUAGCAAUUAUAAAGCUUCCCUCAUUUGUUUACCUUAUCUCAAUUAUCAUAGUCCUGAGCUGCUUGUGAUCUGCUGUCUAAAACAAUAAUUUUAUAUAGUUGUUUGGAUUUUGAAUUGUUUGCAGGCAUAAAGUAAGUCUUGUUCUUGUUGCUUUUGCUUAUCUGGAAGUAGAAGUUCUCUUACAUAGUGAAAAAACUCCAAGACACAGUCUGAGCAAUGAUUUUCAGAAUAGAAACCCCAGAACAGAAGAAACAAAAACAACAACAUUCAAAUGGAAUUGCAUUAAAUUAAAAACAUUCUGCAGAGCAAAGGAAACAUUCAUCAGAGUAAGGAGAUAACACAGAAUAGGAUAAGAUAUUUGCAAACCAUACAUUUGAUAAGGGGUUAAUAUAUUAAAAAAAUAAGGAAGUCAACAGUGUGAAAACAAAUAACCACAUUAAAAAAUGGGCAAAGGACUUGAAUAGAAAAUUCUCAAAAGAAGACAAAUACUGUCUGGCCUGUCUGAGACAUACGUGUCUGGCCAAAAAAAUAAAUAUACUUCUUUGGCCAAAAGGUAUAUAAAAAUGCCCAAAAUCAAGAACCAGGGUAAUGUAAAUAAUAACCACAAUAAAAUGUCAUCUCACUUCUGUUAGAAUGACCAUUAUUAAAAAGAUGAAAGGCAGCAAGUGUUGCCAAGGAUAUGGAGAAAAAGGAACACUUAGAUACUGUUGAUGGGAAUGUAAAUUGUACAGUAAUUAUGGAAAACAAUAUUGAGGUUCCUCAAAAAAAUUCAAAAUAGAACUACAAUAUGAUAUAGCAAUUCUGCUUCUGGGUAUAUAUCUUAAGAAUAUGAAACCUGGAUGCCCACAAUAUAUCUGUACUCCCAUGUUCAUUACAGCAUUGAUCAUGAUAUCUUAGAUAUCGAUUUAACCUAAGUGUUCAUGGAUAAGUGAAAAGAUUUAAAAAAUGUGAUACACACACACAUGAAUACACACACACACGUAGAAGGAAAUAUUAUUCAGCCUUAAAAUGAAGAAAAUUGUAUUAUUUGCAACAACAUGGAUAAAGGUGAACAACAUGUUAUGUAAAAUAAGCUAGAAACAGACAGACAAAUACUGCAUAAUCUCAUUUAUAUGUGGAAUAUAAAAAUGGAACUCAGAGAAAUAGAGUAGAAUCAUAGUUUCCAGGGCUGGAGGUGAGGAAGAGAAUGGGGCAAAAUUGACCAAAGGUUAUAAAAUUUCAGUUAUGCAGGAUGAAUAAGUUCUUGAGAUCUAAUAUACAACAUGCUGAAUAUAGUUAAUAAAACUUUAUUGUAUAGUUGAAUAAAGUAGAUGUUGAAUUUUCUCAGUAUAGAAAAAAAUGGGAAUUUAUGAGGUGAUUGGUAUGUUAAUAAACUUGAUUAUUGUAACCCUUUUAUAGUAUAUACAUAUACCAAAACACAAUUUACCACCUUUAUUUUCUAAUUAUACCUGUAUUAAUCUGUUUUCACACUGCUGAUUAAGACAUACCAGAGACUGGGCAAUUUACAAAAGAAAGAAGUUUAUUGAACUUACAGUUCCAUGUGCCUGGAGAGACCUCACAAUCAUGGCAGAAGGUGAAAGGCACAUCUCACAUGAUGGCAGACAAGAGAACAGAGCUUGUGCAGGGAAACUCACAUUUUUAAAACCAUCAGAUCUCAUGAGACGUAUUGACUAUCACAAGAACAGCAUAGGAAAGACCCGCCCCCAAGAUUGAAUUACCUCCCACCAGGUUAGAUGAGAUUUGGAUAGGGACAGAGUCAAACCAUAUUAAUAUCCCAUUAAAUCUGGGGGGAGAAAGAUCUGAGUGACUCCUCUACAUUAAAAAAAAACUUCCUUUGAUAUAGCACAUGAAAGAUGAGCCUAAGAAGCCUGAGAAGGUUGAGCACAUUGACAAGAGCUUAUCCAAUGCAAUGUAAACAAAAGACCAGCAAAAUUGAGAGUAAUAAUUUAGGCAGUCUCUCUUGGCCACAAACAACUCCAUGCUAUUGGUAUUUUCCUCACCAGAAACCCUUGCUAUGCCCUUUAAUACUCUGAAUUUAACAGCAGAAUCUUCAAAAUAAAGAAUGAAUAUAUUUUUCUUUGCACAGUUACUUAAUUUCUUGGAAGUUGACUCAACUUUUCUCUUUUAGUGCUUUACCCUAUUAAUUUUGACCAAAAACAUUGAGAAUGUUUACACUGACUAUUCCAGUAAAAUUACUUGACUCUCGUAAUCAUUUGUUGAGAAGUUACUACAUGCAAGGUAGAAGUCCUCAAAAGUAGAAAGUGAGAGGGAAAUUAAAACUAACUUUCAAAUAAACAACUUUUUUUUUUUAUUGCAUUAAGAGCUCAAGAGUUACUGAAAGUCUCUGAUGCAACCCAGUAUGGGUUCACCAAAUUCACCAUUUGAAACCUCUCCUUCACUAGCUUUGACACUGCACUGAGACAGGGGAGUUUACUGCCACUUUUUGCUUUAAGCCUUCUCUUUAUUUGCUGGAUGACUAAAAACUAUUAUUAUGGGGACCCACAGGCUAUUAAGGCUAUAUAGAG